CACUAAAUGACGAAUCCUAAUAGCCCAAUGGGUUUCAUUGCGGAUAUGAGGCAUUUGUCUGAGCGG
rnacentral:snoRNA from 1 species